CGCUGGCGGCGUGCCUAAUACAUGCAAGUUGAACGCAACAAAGACACCAGAGCUUGCUCUACCGUUUUUGUUGAGUAGCGAACGGGUGAGUAACGCGUGGGUAACCUGCCUUGUAGCGGGGGAUAACUAUUGGAAACGAUAGCUAAUACCGCAUAACAAUAGAGAUUGCAUAAUCUUUAUUUGAAAGUGCCAACUGGUACACUAUGAGAUGGACCCGCGUUGUAUUAGCUAGUUGGUAGUGUAAUGGACUACCAAGGCGAUGAUACAUAGCCGACCUGAGAGGGUGAUCGGCCACAUUGGGACUGAGACACGGCCCAAACUCCUACGGGAGGCAGCAGUAGGGAAUCUUCGGCAAUGGACGAAAGUCUGACCGAGCAACGCCGCGUGAGUGAAGAAGGUUUUCGGAUCGUAAAACUCUGUUGUUAGAGAAGAAUGUUGAUUAGAGUGGAAAAUUAAUCAAGUGACGGUAUCUAACCAGAAAGGGACGGCUAACUACGUG
rnacentral:rRNA from 1 species